AAAAAAGGGGUACAUGAUCAAGUAUGGGAAAGGACAGGAGGGAAGUACAAAGGGUUAGGAAAUUGAAUAGAAAUAUGUAGCAGUUUGGGAUGGGGAUUUGUGGGUAGCUACUAGAAAGUUUCAGAUGUCAGGGAAAACAGAGGCCCCCAGGGUCUAAGAGGAUUGACUUUAGCCACAAUAACCAACAAAGGGGAUACAGAACCUGUAGAAUUUGUGUCCAGUAAAUAGGCAUGGCUCCCAAUUGAGGGGUGGUGCCACCUACCCAUUUAAAAUUUUUUAACCUGGAAUUGUUCCUGUCCACAGGAAAAAGCAGGACAAAAACUGAGUGGCUGAAGACAAAAACAGUGACUGAAGGAAAGGCCCUCCAGAGACCACCCUACCUAGGGAUCUGUCCCUUCUGCAGACACCAAACCCUCACACUCUUGCUGAUGCCAAGAAGCACUUGCUGACAGGAGCCUGGUAUGGCUGUCCCCUGAGAGGCUCUGUCAACAUCUGUCUAAUACAGAUGCAGAUACUCACAGUCAACCAUUAGACUGAGCCCAAGAACCCCAAUAGAAGAGCUAGGGAAGGAAUGAAGGAGCUGAAGGAGAUUGCAACUCUUAGGAAGAACAAUAUCGACUAACUAGACCACCCAGAGCUUCCAGGUACUAAAAGCAUAUUCAUGGAAGGAUCUAUGUCUCCAGCUAUAUGUAUAGCAGAGAAUGGCCUUAUCUGGCAUUAAUGGGAGGAGAGACCCUUGGUCCUGUGAUGGCUUGAUGCCCCAGUGUAAAGGAUGCUAGGGUGAUGACAUAGGAGUGGGUGAGAGGGUAGAGAAGCACCCUUAUAGAAGCAAAGGGGAGAGGGGAAAGAGAGCAUGGGAUGAAGAUUUAUGGAGUGGAAACUGGGAAGGAGGAUAUCAUUUGAAACGUAAGCAAAUAAAAUGAUUAUUAAUACUAAUAAAUAGCAAAAAACAGCAGACAUCAUGAGAGAAAACAUAGACACACACAGAAUAAAGACCCCUUUCUAUGUGAAUAAAUAUCAAUAUAGCCUGCUGAACAGUAGUAUGAUUAGUCAAUGUUUGGAGUCAAUAGGAAACAAGGAAAUUCUUACUGAUGAGUUUUCUAGUGCCUCAUGGAACAUAGUUGGACUACUCAGAUCAUGGAUAACCUUGCUGUUCAGUUUUGCAAGUACAUCUGUUGUCAGUGUGUUCAAGAUGAUCAGAGUAUAAAAGGUGUUUGUUGCCAUAUGAGACCAUAGUGAAAAUGAAUUUUAUCCACAAAUAUCUAUGCCACCUAUUGGCUACAAUGCACAACACAGUCAAAUCAAAAGCACUUUAAUGAGAUGCACGUUAACUGUAGUUCAUCAGACACUUUCAGCUCCUCUCAAAGAUCCAGAGAGACCAAGAACGUUCAUUUUUUAUUUAAUAUUUUUUAUUUACAUUUCAAAUGUUAUCCCGUUUCCUAGUUUUCCCUUCAAAAACCCCCUAUUCCCUCCCCCCUCCUCCUGCUCCCCAACCCACCUACUCCUGCUUCCUGGUCCUGGCAUUCCCCUAUACUGGGGCAUAGAACCUUCACAGGACCAAGGUCUCUCCUCCCAUUGAUAACCGACUAGGCCAUCCUCUGCUACAUAUGCAGCUAGAGCCAUGAGUCCCACCAUGUGUUUUCUUUGUUUGGUGGUUUAGUCCCAGGUAGCUCUGUUUUUAGGACAUGUGGCAUAAUAAAAUUAGUAAAUAAAAAGAUAACAAAAUUAUGAAAUUAUUUCAAUUUUCCAUAUUUAAUAAAUAAAAUUAUGAUGGUCAUUUUUUUCAAUCCUGUCAGUAGAUUCUGUACCACAAAUCUUUUUUGAAAAUUCGAUAAGAAAUGUGAAUUUGAGACAUUAUCCUGCUGUGGUUGUCAGCCUUCCUGUAAUAUCUGACUUGUUUUGCUAAUAUGAGCAUGGGAGGAGGGGAUAGUCAAACACUUUUAAAAAAUUAUCAUGGGGGAAGAAUUAUAGACAAAUAGAAAAGAGAAAUUGAAAGUCAAAACAAAAAUAGCCAGUGUAGAGACAUGGAAUUAAUAAAGUAUCAAAAGCAUAAUAUUUGAACUUAACUUCUCCCUUGUAAUGAUUUUGCAGCAGAGUAUCUCAUAUUCUGUAUAUUGUAGUACAUGUCUUGUGUGAUAGUAAGGAGAUGCACAAGAAUCUCUGUGGUAAAGAAAGCAUGCCUUUUCAGAGCACAACCCUAGCAGUGUCUGCUAUAUUUUCAAUGUUUAAAAUAUAUUUUGUAGGAAUGAAUAACCAUUGAAUUAAUAAGUAAAUGAAUGUUAAUCUUAUAGCAAUGUCGGGUAGCAAGGUUAUUAGGGUUAUUAUGUCUGCAUUCCAGCACUCUUUUUGUUUUCUUAAUGAAGUUGGAAAAUCUCCAAUCCAAGCUCAGUCCCUAGUGCUUUAUCUCUUAAUAUGCUUCGUUUCUGCUGAGCCGUCAAUUCUUUGUUUGUUGGCCUGGGGUAAGAGGCACUUCAGACUAGUAAUCUUACACUGUGACUUUCAUGAGAUACAUAAUCAAUCUUGCAUCAAAUACAUGAACUCUUGCUAAGGGCAUGUACUGCAUCAACCUUCUACUUGAAUUCAACACUUAGUGAACACUAUUCAACUUUCAGGACACAGGGGGCUGCGUCUUUGUCGUCCUUCAUUGCCUUCAGUGAUAGCUCAGCUAUUAUUGAGACCUGGGUCUAAUGGUCCCUGAAGAUAUAUUUUCCUAAUUCUUGACAUGUUUAAAAUGACUAAAUGCAGAUGCAUAAGACCUCGGGGAAGGGCACUCAUGUUGACAUUUGUUUACUUCUGUGGAAUGUACCAUGGAGGGAAUUUUUUCAAAAAGCAGGCAUGGUCACAUGCUCACAUCUAUAUUUAUUUUAUGGCAUGUGUGUAGAGGUCAUAGGGCAACUUCAGUAAUUUGUCCUUACCUACUACCUUGUUUGACAUAGGGGCCUGUGUUCAAAACUGUGUUUUCCAAGCUCAUUGGCCUGUGGGAUUCUGGAGGUUGUCCUGUUUCUUUUCCUCUUCUUGAAGGAGGAAUAAUGGGGUGACAGAUAUACACUAAUGUGUCUAUCUUUAUAUGGCUUCUGUCUAUGCAAACUCCAUUCCUCAGUUACACGGAAAGUGUUUUUUCAAAUGUGUCAAAUAGCUGCUGCUUUGUGUGACUUAAUAUGCCAUU
rnacentral:lncRNA from 1 species